rnacentral:sRNA from 1 species
AAUUGGAGGAACAUUGUUGUCUCAGGUCAUUAUGCAUUUAUUGAGGCGAGUGCUCCACAAAGGGUGGGCGAUAGGGCUUACCUUGCAUCACAGAGAUUCUCUGGCAACCAAGUGCGCUGUCUACAUUUCUUUUACAACAUGUUUGGUCAAGGCAUUGGAACACUUAAUGUCUAUAUGAAUACAACCAGUUUACAGAAAGUAUGGUCACUUUCAGGCCCACAGGGGAGGUUAUGGAGUCCAGCUUCUGUAUCAUUUAAUAGCUUAGUGCCUUAUCAGAUUAUCAUUGAAGGAACUGUUGGCUCCAGCUAUGAAGGAGACAUUGCCAUUGAUGACAUUUUCUUUUCAAAUGACAACUGUGCUAGUAAG